AUGCUCACUACGGCAGCACAUAUAUUAAAAUUGGAAUGUUACAGAGAAGAUUAGCAAGUCCCCUGUUCAAGGAUGACACACAAAUUCAUGAAGCAUUCCAUAUUUUU